rnacentral:rRNA from 1 species
AUUGAACGCUGGCGGCAUGCUUUACACAUGCAAGUCGAACGGUAACAGGCCUUCGGGUGCUGACGAGUGGCGAACGGGUGAGUAAUGCAUCGGAACGUACCCAGAGGUGGGGGAUAACGCAGCGAAAGCUGUGCUAAUACCGCAUGUGAUCUGAGGAUGAAAGCGGGGGACCGAGCAGCAAUGUUUGGCCUCGCGCCUUUGGAGCGGCCGAUGUCGGAUUAGCUAGUUGGUGGGGUAAAGGCCUACCAAGGCGACGAUCCGUAGCUGGUCUGAGAGGACGACCAGCCACACUGGGACUGAGACACGGCCCAGACUCCUACGGGAGGCAGCAGUGGGGAAUUUUGGUCAAUGGGCGCAAGCCUGAUCCAGCAAUGCCGCGUGCGGGAAGAAGGCCUUCGGGUUGUAAACCGCUUUUGGCAGGAACGAAACGGUGUCCGCUAAUACCGGGCGCUAAUGACGGUACCUGCAGAAUAAGCACCGGCUAACUACGUG